UACGAAGGGGGCUAGCGUUGCUCGGAAUCACUGGGCGUAAAGGGCUCGUAGGCGGUCCAUCGCGUCGGGAGUGAAAAGCUGGGGCUUAACCCCAGUCCUGCUUUCGAUACGGGUGGACUAGAGGUAGGCAGGGGAGAAUGGAAUUCCUGGUGUAGCGGUGAAAUGCGCAGAUAUCAGGAGGAACACCGGUGGCGAAGGCGGUUCACUGGUCCGGUACUGACGCUGAGGUGCGAAAGCGUGGGGAGCAAACAGG
rnacentral:rRNA from 1 species